rnacentral:rRNA from 1 species
AUUGAACGCUGGCGGCAGGCCUAACACAUGCAAGUCGAACGGUAACAGGAAGAAGCUUGCUUCUUUGCUGACGAGUGGCGGACGGGUGAGUAAUGUCUGGGAAACUGCCUGAUGGAGGGGGAUAACUACUGGAAACGGUAGCUAAUACCGCAUAACGUCGCAAGACCAAAGAGGGGGACCUUCGGGCCUCUUGCCAUCGGAUGUGCCCAGAUGGGAUUAGCUAGUAGGUGGGGUAACGGCUCACCUAGGCGACGAUCCCUAGCUGGUCUGAGAGGAUGACCAGCCACACUGGACCUGAGACACGGUCCAGACUCCUACGGGAGGCAGCAGUGGGGAAUAUUGCACAAUGGGCGCAAGCCUGAUGCAGCCAUGCCGCGUGUAUGAAGAAGGCCUUCGGGUUGUAAAGUACUUUCAGCGGGGAGGAAGGGAGUAAAGUUAAUACCUUUGCUCAUUGACGUUACCCGCAGAAGAAGCACCGGCUAACUCCGU